ensembl:snRNA U6 U6 spliceosomal RNA
AUCCUCAGAUGAGGAUUUUAAAAAUGCUUUAAAAAAAGAUUAUCAUGACCCCUGCGCAAGAAUGACACACAAAUUCAUGGAAUGUUCCAUAUUUUC